GAAAUCGUGGUACGAACAAAAAGAAGAUAUUUUCCUGCAAGUACGGGUGAAAGAUCUAUCAAAUUAGUAUUAUCUUUUCAGCUGUUUCUUAUAAAUAAAAGUGGAAUGAAUAAAUUUGUAUCUAAUACAAUUUCUAAAUAUAAAAAUUCGAAUUACUUCUGCAAGGAAAAUCAAUGCCUCUCUUAUUUCAUUUCAUCAGGAUUUAUGAUACAGGCUGUAUAAUUAUUAUAUAUAUAAUUAUUCUGUA